ACUGCUUUGAGACCCAGCUGUGACUAAAGACCAAAGCUGAGUUUAUUUUCUUUUUCUGGGACUACAUAGCAGGCUGUGAAAACAACUGAGGAAUCUGAACCCACUAAAAAUGGCCCUGUUGUAGUUGUGAUGGAUUCCCCCCAGGGUGCCACUUGGAACUGGGAUACCACUGAGCCCGUCUGACCUACCACCCUGGGCUCCCCUUUCACACUGUGGCGCUGUGAUAAAUUGCCACACUCUCCAAGCUUCUUAUUUCACCAGCAUACAGGAAAAUUUUAAAAAAGAGGGGUGAGGACGGGAUGAAAAUGUUUAAAAGCAUGGAAAGACAUCCAUCUGAAGAGAAAUUGAAAAGAUGGACUGUUCAGUGAAGAGAUGAGAUCAGUAAACAGAUGUGAGAAAGAUGUAUGCACGCCCAGGCAAUGCGGGUGGAAUGGGAACUGCUAUUUUAUUUUUUAAUCAAAUCUGGAUUUUGCAAUUAGAAAAAUGCACUCUCUCAAGGCAAAGGUUUAAUCGAACAUGAAAACUGCUUAGUACACUUGAAUGUAAUGGCUGAUUGGGCUGAACCAAGGAAAGGAGAAGCUACAGAACCUUGGCCUCACCAUGAUGAAAUUCUACUCCCUGAUCAGACCUGACAUGAACAGAUCAAAAGAGAUGUUCCUGAUGGCAAACUGAACUGAUAUACAACAGCCGAUAUACGGCACAGCUAUAUUAAUGUGUAAUCAUCCAUAGGUUCCAGAAUGAGACAA